AACGGCUCAGGACUGUACUAUCCGCCCUUUCCAUCUCUUCCACCAAAAAUACUUGCGUUGGCGCCCAGCUUCACUCUGUGUCUCCCUGGUUGCACAUAGCCACCUGACCAAGGCAGGAACUGCAACCACAACUCAGCAAAGAACUUUCUUGACAUUACCGUUACUAUCGCAUAGAAUGAGAAUGCUUUUGCCUCAAUUCUCCACUUUCGUUGCCUAGCAGAUUUUGACAGCUGUGACCAGAAAGCCAACAUUAUACAGCUAACGUGAUCGUGUUAAGAAAAGUGAAGGCCAGCCCAGCAAAUCAACUUCUUGGAAGGCUAGUGUGGUGAAGUUUAUCAGUAUGAUGUCUGCGCACCUUGACAAGGAGAUGGGAAAAGUCUGGAGUCUUUCCCAAGAGGAAAGACUUAAGGAGACUGACAUCAGGGACUCCCAUACUCAACAGCUCAGGAGGCUCACCUUACAGUAGGGCUCACAUUUCCUGCCCACACACUUCAAGCAUUUUAUCUCCUACUUGGAAUUCUUGGCAGCAAUCAAAUAUCACCUGACAUCUGAGGAAAACUUCUAAGAGAAAAGACGGACCCAAACAAACAGAAGAAAACACGGAAGAAACUGGGAUGAUACAGGAAGAAGAAAACUUGGAUAGAAGACUAAAAAAGAUGGAACGUUCUGAGUUCAGAGUAAUAUUUUUUUCCCUUAAAUUUACUAUGCUAACAGGGAUGGCGAAAGUUGAGGAAAACUAUUCAGAAAAUAGCAAGCCCCCCCCCCCAAAAAAGAUAAAAUUUAAAAGGAGGUCUAGGAGUUCUCUUGUGACACAGUGGGUUAAGGAUCUGGUGUUGUCAUUGCAACAGCUUGAGUCACUGCUAUGGUGCAGGUUUGAUCUCUGGCUUGGGAAUUACAACAUGCCAUUGGGCACUGUCAAAAAAUAAAUAAGUAAAUAAAUAAAAGGAGGUCUACUAUCUGAUUACUAGCAGUUGUAAAAAGAAAGGGACAAACAAAAAAGGAAAUACUUUCAAUAAAACAA